rnacentral:rRNA from 1 species
UACAGAGGUCUCAAGCGUUUGUUCGGAUUCAUUGGGCGUAAAGGGUGCGUAGGCGGCGCGUAAGUCGGGUGUGAAAUCUCGGGGCUUAACUCCGAAACUGCAUUCGAUACUGGCCGUGCUUGAGGACUGGAGAGGAGACUGGAAUUUACGGUGUAGCGGUGAAAUGCGUAGAUAUCGUAAGGAAGACCAGUGGCGAAGGCGGGUCUCUG